rnacentral:ncRNA from 1 species
UACCGCUAGGGGCGCCGCAACGCGCUUUGGAUCUACCAAAAGCGCAUUGGCUGAGAUGAACCGCAAGGUUCGGUCCCUUGGAACCUGAAGUGGGUAAUCCCACCGUAGGGAAGCGGAG